UUAAGCGACUAAGCGUACACGGUGGAUGCCCUGGCAGUCAGAGGCGAUGAAGGACGUGCUAAUCUGCGAAAAGCGUCGGUAAGGUGAUAUGAACCGUUAUAACCGGCGAUGUCCGAAUGGGGAAACCCAGUGCAAUUCGUUGCACUAUCGUUAACUGAAUACAUAGGUUAACGAGGCGAACCGGGGGAACUGAAACAUCUAAGUACCCCGAGGAAAAGAAAUCAACCGAGAUUCCCCCAGUAGCGGCGAGCGAACGGGGAGCAGCCCAGAGUCUGAAUCAGCUUGUGUGUUAGUGGAACGGUCUGGAAAGUCCGACGGUACAGGGUGAUAGUCCCGUACACCAAAAUGCACAGGCUGUGAACUCGAAGAGUAGGGCGGGACACGUGGUAUCCUGUCUGAAUAUGGGGGGACCAUCCUCCAAGGCUAAAUACUCCUGACUGACCGAUAGUGAACCAGUACCGUGAGGGAAAGGCGAAAAGAACCCCGGCGAGGGGAGUGAAAAAGAACCUGAAACCGUGUACGUACAAGCAGUGGGAGCACCUUCGGGUGUGACUGCGUACCUUUUGUAUAAUGGGUCAGCGACUUAUAUUCUGUAGCAAGGUUAACCGUAUAGGGGAGCCGCAGGGAAACCGAGUCUUAACUGGGCGUUAAGUUGCAGGGUAUAGACCCGAAACCCGGUGAUCUAGCCAUGGGCAGGUUGAAGGUUGGGUAACACUAACUGGAGGACCGAACCGACUAAUGUUGAAAAAUUAGCGGAUGACUUGUGGCUGGGGGUGAAAGGCCAAUCAAACCGGGAGAUAGCUGGUUCUCCCCGAAAGCUAUUUAGGUAGCGCCUCGUGAACUCAUCUUCGGGGGUAGAGCACUGUUUCGGCUAGGGGGUCAUCCCGACUUACCAACCCGAUGCAAACUACGAAUACCGAAGAAUGUUAUCACGGGAGACACACGGCGGGUGCUAACGUCCGUCGUGAAGAGGGAAACAACCCAGACCGCCAGCUAAGGUCCCAAAGUCAUGGUUAAGUGGGAAACGAUGUGGGAAGGCACAGACAGCCAGGAUGUUGGCUUAGAAGCAGCCAUCAUUUAAAGAAAGCGUAAUAGCUCACUGGUCGAGUCGGCCUGCGCGGAAGAUGUAACGGGGCUAAACCAUGCACCGAAGCUGCGGCAGCGACACUAUGUGUUGUUGGGUAGGGGAGCGUUCUGUAAGCCUGCGAAGGUGUGCUGUGAGGCAUGCUGGAGGUAUCAGAAGUGCGAAUGCUGACAUAAGUAACGAUAAAGCGGGUGAAAAGCCCGCUCGCCGGAAGACCAAGGGUUCCUGUCCAACGUUAAUCGGGGCAGGGUGAGUCGACCCCUAAGGCGAGGCCGAAAGGCGUAGUCGAUGGGAAACAGGUUAAUAUUCCUGUACUUGGUGUUACUGCGAAGGGGGGACGGAGAAGGCUAUGUUAGCCGGGCGACGGUUGUCCCGGUUUAAGCAUGUAGGCUGGUUAUCCAGGCAAAUCCGGAUAAUCAAGGCUGAGGUGUGAUGACGAGGCACUACGGUGCUGAAGUAACAAAUGCCCUGCUUCCAGGAAAAGCCUCUAAGCAUCAGGUAACAUCAAAUCGUACCCCAAACCGACACAGGUGGUCAGGUAGAGAAUACCAAGGCGCUUGAGAGAACUCGGGUGAAGGAACUAGGCAAAAUGGUGCCGUAACUUCGGGAGAAGGCACGCUGGUGUGUAGGUGAAGUCCCUGCGGAUGGAGCUGAGACCAGUCGAAGAUACCAGCUGGCUGCAACUGUUUAUUAAAAACACAGCACUGUGCAAACACGAAAGUGGACGUAUACGGUGUGACGCCUGCCCGGUGCCGGAAGGUUAAUUGAUGGGGUUAUCCGUAAGGAGAAGCUCUUGAUCGAAGCCCCGGUAAACGGCGGCCGUAACUAUAACGGUCCUAAGGUAGCGAAAUUCCUUGUCGGGUAAGUUCCGACCUGCACGAAUGGCGUAAUGAUGGCCAGGCUGUCUCCACCCGAGACUCAGUGAAAUUGAACUCGCUGUGAAGAUGCAGUGUACCCGCGGCAAGACGGAAAGACCCCGUGAACCUUUACUAUAGCUUGACACUGAACAUUGAGCCUUGAUGUGUAGGAUAGGUGGGAGGCUUUGAAGCGUGGACGCCAGUCUGCGUGGAGCCAACCUUGAAAUACCACCCUUUAAUGUUUGAUGUUCUAACGUUGGCCCCUGACCGGGGUUGCGGACAGUGUCUGGUGGGUAGUUUGACUGGGGCGGUCUCCUCCCAAAGCGUAACGGAGGAGCACGAAGGUUAGCUAAUCCUGGUCGGACAUCAGGAGGUUAGUGCAAUGGCAUAAGCUAGCUUGACUGCGAGCGUGACGGCGCGAGCAGGUGCGAAAGCAGGUCAUAGUGAUCCGGUGGUUCUGAAUGGAAGGGCCAUCGCUCAACGGAUAAAAGGUACUCCGGGGAUAACAGGCUGAUACCGCCCAAGAGUUCAUAUCGACGGCGGUGUUUGGCACCUCGAUGUCGGCUCAUCACAUCCUGGGGCUGAAGUAGGUCCCAAGGGUAUGGCUGUUCGCCAUUUAAAGUGGUACGCGAGCUGGGUUUAGAACGUCGUGAGACAGUUCGGUCCCUAUCUGCCGUGGGCGCUGGAGAAUUGAGGGGGGCUGCUCCUAGUACGAGAGGACCGGAGUGGACGCAUCACUGGUGUUCGGGUUGUCAUGCCAAUGGCACUGCCCGGUAGCUAAAUGCGGAAGAGAUAAGUGCUGAAAGCAUCUAAGCACGAAACUUGCCCCGAGAUGAGUUCUCCCUGAGACUUUAAGUCUCCUGAAGGAACGUUGAAGACGACGACGUUGAUAGGCCGGGUGUGUAAGCGCAGCGAUGCGUUGAGCUAACCGGUACUAAUGAACCGUGAGGCUUAACCUU
rnacentral:rRNA from 4 species